GCUAAACGCGAAGAACCUUACCUACUCUUGACAUCCAGAGAACUUAGCAGAGACGCUUUGGUGCCUUCGGGAACUCUGAGACAGGUGCUGCAUGGCUGUCGUCAGCUCGUGUUGUGAAAUGUUGGGUUAAGUCCCGCAACGAGCGCAACCCUUAUCCUUUGUUGCCAGCGAUUCGGUCGGGAACUCAAAGGAGACUGCCAGUGAUAAACUGGAGGAAGGUGGGGAUGACGUCAAGUCAUCAUGGCCCUUACGAGUAGGGCUACACACGUGCUACAAUGGCAUAUACAAAGAGAAGCGACCUCGCGAGAGCAAGCGGACCUCAUAAAGUAUGUCGUAGUCCGGAUUGGAGUCUGCAACUCGACUCCAUGAAGUCGGAAUCGCUAGUAAUCGUGGAUCAGAAUGCCACGGUGAAUACGUUCCCGGGUCUUGUACACACCG
rnacentral:rRNA from 1 species